UACCGGAACACAUCUUACUUGUGUAAAAUCCAGAUAUAUAGCAAAGGAAAACACUUUCUAAACAAAACUGCCAAAAUUUUGUUUUAUUUAAUCUGGUGUAUUUCAGUACUAGCAGAUAAAAGCACUUGCCACAAUUUCCAACAAAAGAAUCAUUACUUCGUGUUUCCCGCCAGACCGGUCUGACUCCGAGUCCGGAACGGAAAUCUCAACAUUCUCAACCCAACAGUCAACAGGCAGCAAUGAACGCGAGAAGGCGGAAGGCUCAGUGAUUUCGGUGUUUCGAAUCAGAAUUUGGCGCCGCUGGUUACAUAAAUUUCCGCGUAGAACGCAUUUACGAAAUUCCAAACCAACAAUAUCACCUAUGUCAUGAGAACAUCACUGCAACACUUUCCACGUAGACGGUUUGCUACGAUGGUUUCUGGAGACACGGCUGAUCUUAAAAACAUCUUGACCAGUUUGAAUGUCCUGAGGAAUUCCCGAAGAGAGGGCACAUUGCCGCGACUGUUAGCUGCAACCAUCAAGGUGAUGAACAUUAGUAACAGG